rnacentral:lncRNA from 1 species
CUAAUUCUCUAAUUUGCAAUCGAGAGCAGAUGAGGUUGAUAAUUGGGCGUCGAACAAGAGUUUUGCCCCUUCUCCCUCUCUCUACCUCCUCUCUGCGCCGCCUUUGUCUCCGGCGAGCAGCCGCUAGCCGCCACCUUCUCCAGCCUGGCGUCGCCCCCCAUCCCCAUCACCCCUCUCUUGCUUCCACCACCACGGUAUACUCUCUCUCUCUCUCUCUCCUAUUUCUAUAUGUUAUUUCUAUUCUUUGCGUUAAUUUUUGUAAGUUUGGGCAGAGCAACCUCCAUCGUCGGCUCAGCGCCCACCACCGCUCCAAUCGCACCACCACUACCCCUGGCACCUGCCUCCAGCCU